UUAGAGUUUAAGUUUGGUUAAAAAUUGAAUAGUAAAGUAUUGAGACUUCUUAUGAGUUUAGCAUGAUAAAUAGAUGCAGAACCAUAUCAGUUGAAGAAAAAAGCCUAGCAAUUCUUUUUAUCUACUUUUCCUUAUGACUUGUAAUUUCCUACUAGAAAGCAGUGAUUUAAAUAAGCACUUGGGCAAGCCGAGGCGAGGCCCGAGCGCCUCGUGUGUGCACUAGACGGUACGCUUCAAUGAGGCGCCGCUUGGGCACUCGCUCAAACGCAAGUGCUGGGCGCUUCGGGCGAGCGCCCGAUUCUAUUAGGCGAAUCGAAUCGGUUUAAUGUUGGUUCGGUUCGUAGUUUCUUACCUCAAAACCACGCUUCACGCCCGCACGACCCCGAGGAACCCUAGUGUCGCUUCUAUCUUUGCUGUCGACGUUUUCUGCCGCUGCCUUCGUUGCAGACGCAACGAACCAAGCCUUCCCUUAUUGUCGACGGAUGAGUCCGAUGGCCCCCGUAGCUUCCUUCCACUGUUGAGGGAGAGGACCGUAGGUUCCUCCGCCACCAUCGGAUGCCCUUUGGAGCUUCCGUCGUUGCUGUCGCUGUUGUCCACAGCUUUCACUGCCGUCAUCGCUACUGUCCGCAGCUUCCGUCGUUGCCACUGCUACUGUCCACAACUUACGCCGCUGUCACUACUACUGUCCGCAGCUUCGCUCGCUGUCGCUGCUACUGUCCACAGCUUUUGCCAUUGUCGCUGCUGUCAUUCGCAAUGCUGCCACAACUAUCUUAAACUAAUCCUCCGCCGCUGCUUCUAUCUCCCUCUGUUACUGUUAACAUUUUUUUUCCCCCUUUAACUUUAAAUAAUAUAUUGUUAACAGUAUAUUUUAAAUUAAUAUCAUAUUUUAAUUUAAAUAAUUAUAUUUUUAAUUAUAUUAUAUAUUUUUAUAUUUUUAUAUUUUACUGAAUAAUUUUUCUCCCCCUCUAACUUAAGUAAUAUAUUAUUAACAGUAUAUUUUUAAUUUAAUAUUAUAUUUUUAUUUAAAUAAUUAUUUUUAAAUUAUAUUAUAUUUUUUAUAUUUUAAUAUUUCAGAGCGUCUCGUUUCGCUCGGGCAAGCGCCUAGCACCUCGGGCGUUUUGGGAUCUUAGCGCCUAACGUUUUUAAAAUCACUGUUAGAAAGCAUAAAAAAGAGAUCAUGAAGCAUAAAUUCAAAUAUGGACUACCAAUAUUCACAGGGAUAUGUCACAUCCCGAAAGGAAGAGAUAUGAUAUGACAUAUAAUGUGUUAAACUUCAUACACUGUUUUGUAUGAUGAAUGUAAUGAGCCUCCCAAUAUAUUGGCAAGAAUGAAAAUACUUCUAAUCACAUAAUGCUUCAAGAAUAUAGAGAAGGUAAUCAUAAUCAGAUUCUUGAUGUAUAUGUCAUAUACCAGUCUUGUACAUUAUAAUACAACAACAACAACAACAACAUCAGUCUUGUACAUUAUAAUGUCCUGACUAUUUGGGUUUAGCUCUGUGGAAAACUUUUCCACCAUGAAAGCAAUUAAGAUUCAUGAUCACAAGAUCUAAUAUAGUUUUAGCAGUGUAAGUCCUAUACAUUGUAUUAUCAACUCAAGAAAUUCUUUUAAUAUGGUAUUCAGGAAAUUUUAUCCUCAAUGUAUUUGAUUUUAGACAACAUUUUAUUAGAUCAUUCAAGGAAACAUACAUCAUGUACCUGAAGAUGUGACAAUGAGCAUUUGUAUCUGACACAUUGGUAUGAGUACAAUAAACUGGCAAUGAUAUAAGUACUAGUACAGAACUGGAAUAUGUUGCCUUGAACUUGGGAUAUGAUUUGAAGAGUUCCUGAUGUUAAUAUUGGUAGCUAGAAUGUAUAUGACACUAUAUGUGGAUCAUAGAUGGAUGCAACUUAUGGGAUGAGUGUGGGACAGAUGACAUUAAUUUCUAAUUUGAAGUUUAAAGUUCAAGCAACCAAUAAUGCCUUAGACAUUUGAUGGGAAUCCAUCUGGUGAAGGCUUACUAUUUUAAAGUUCUAUAGUGUCAAUGAGAGGGUUAGACACAUGAGAUUGAGAGUGGAUAAGAAUAUUGAACAGAUGAAAUUGGUGUAUUGAGUGUUCAAAUAAUUAGUAGUGUAUUAAACAUUUUAAAAAAUGAGGCUUGCUAUCAGAGCCGGAGUGUGAUCAGGGUUAGAUAUAUAGCCUUCAUGACUGUUAAAUUGCCAUUUUUCCUGAUAGCCAUAAAAAAACACUCAGGUACUUACAAAUUAUCUGAUCAAGUAGGUGCGGAAAGCUGAUUGAGGCCAUAAGGAGACAUCCAACACUGGACCUGGAAUUUCACAUUGUGGAUAACUUUUGUAAAAGGGAUGAUCCAAAAAUUUUGCUAAGAAUGUAGCAACAGUUUCUUGAAUGGCCUUAACACAGUACGUAGCUUGCUUGCUUAUGUGUCGCUCUUAGAUCAUUUUAUUUUCUUUGGAUUUUUUCAUUCAAAAAAUUGCAAUUUGCUGAAAGGUUUAUGGCAAAUUUCGAGAUCCAAAUGUAGGAUAAGCUUCUUUGAUCUUGCAAGUCACCUGCAGCUUAUUGUGAUAGUUUGCUUAUGGGAGUUUGUAAAUGUUGCUUCAAUUGCUUUUCGAAAUUCCUUCUGUAGGCCACUAGAGUGGUUUAAGGUGGUAUUUGUAUUGAGAAUUAAAUAAAAUAGUCAUCGUACUAAUGAUUUGAUCACAUUAUCUUUGCCUAUAGCAACAAAUUUAUUUAGGUCAGAUUUUUCUACUUCUUGGAGCAAAUGCUCCAGACGGUUAGGUUAAGACUUACCUGCGCUAUCUUUUUCAUGUUUGAUCAUGUGCCAAAUACAUUCUCUUUUCUUUCCUGUCCUCUUACUACUUUAAUUCUUGCUGUGGUUUCCGAACAAAGAGGAAUUAAGAGAACAGGACACAUUGGAUCAUUUUCUUGCAUUGGCUUAAUAUAAUUAUAUUGUUUAAUCAGUAAUUCGGGUCCAUAACAUGAGUCAUUUUUUUCUCUCAUUUUUCUCCAGGCUCAGGCUCUUCUAAGCUAUUUCCGAAACCAACGGCAUGGUGGUGCUGGGAGGAGAUGAUCACCUAGGUUUAGGUUUCUCAGUUCUAUGUAAUUAUCACGACUGUCGUCAGAGUUUCCUAGCAUUUUGAUGCGUUGAAGAUUUGUCGGGUUGUUUUCCUGUAUAAAAAAAAAAAGACUGAUCUGUACAGCGUUCCUCGGCGUCAGUUGAUUCUUUUCUCGUUGCAGUAUUGCUGUCUGUACGGGUUUAUUUCAUGUAUCACAUAUAGUGAUCUCUUUUCUGUAACAUGCGGCUUCCAAUUCCAUGGAACCUCUUAUGCUCUCUCCUGUUCAUAGAAAAUAGUUGCUGUCCGAAGCACUUUCUCAAAAUAUAUUCCAAUGUAUACGUAGUUCUGUAUAUGUCAAUUCACUUUAUCACUGUGGCAUUUGUUCCUCUCUCGAAAACACUUUCUCAAUGCUCGAUGAAAUAGUCGAUAAAUUAGUAGCGACUCUAAAUGGUUGAUCCUAUAUGCGCGUGCUUUGAUUGCAAAUGUAUGUUUGACAUGAUAAGUAUAUAUGUUUGCUGGAUGCAUGGAAUCACCAAUUCAUGGCUGAGGUAUGUUUGGUGAAACACAAGUGACUUGAGCAACCAUUGUUUUAUUCGAAGAAUCCUAAGAGACGUCUUCUUCUUCUUCUUCUUCUGCUGCUGUAUUGUUUUGGACAAUCUCAAGGGAAGAAAAGGCAAAUGGUGGACGGCAUUCACAACUUGACCCACUCGGAGCCGUCGAUGAAGCUUAAGGUAAUGAAAGGCUUUGCUUCCUCGUCCGUGAGCUCCCUCGACCAUGAAACCCUUCCCGCGUAGCUCGCUCCCGGGCCGCUGCACUUGUACUGCCCGUAGAACACAGUCCUGUUGUAUCAUCACAAAUGCUGUGUGAGACUCUGAUCGCCUCAUCAUACAAGUUGUGGUAAGGUAGGGGGCUUACAUCUCUCUGUUGGGGUCUCCCCAGUUGUACCAUCCUCUGGGGACGAUGAUGGCGUCCAUGUACGUGUAGGCGAAGAUGACCCUGGAGAAGGUUCCCCAUGCCCGCCCCAGGUAGAGCGCCCCCGACCCCGUCACCUUGCAUCUCACGAACGAGAACCCUGUGUCCUCCAAAAGGUUCAUCCGGUUCUGCGCCGUGACGGCGCCGUAGUUCCGCGCCACCGCGUGGACACGACAUCCCUGCACCAACACCACGACUCAGACACAGACGCAACAGUGCCACAGCACGUGAAUCGGGUCUCGCAGCACAAAGCGGCGCUUGUCCCCACGGCGCACUCGCCUCGUGCUGCUACGUGACAAGCGGAAGCUUGCCGUGAACGCAUGGUGUGUGCAGAUUAGGUUCUGACCUCGUAGAGCGAGAGAGCGUUCCCGAAGAUGAAAUCCACAGAGCCUUCGAUGUAGCAAUCCUUGUAGUAAUGCCUGCCGAAGUGAUCGUAGAGCGUGUCUUGUGCCCCCAAAAUAUUGCAGCCCACAAAUGUCGCCGCGUCCGCGGACACCCUCAGCGCCACCGCCUGCUUCCCCAUCGCCCCUGGUGGCGGAACAGGGGUUGUGUUCUGCAAACAGCAACAAACAAUGAACUCCCCAAAGCUUCAUCCUGAAACCGUGUAAUUUACUUUACCUUGAAGGUGAUGUUCUUUGCCAUGAAAUAAGGGGCAUUGACAGCGAAGGUGGCGGAGUUGAAGGUCCCGAUGGGCUGCCCUGUCGGCCCCAGUGUUUCGGCUGUGUCACCCCACUGAACCACCGUCUUACCAGCUCCUGCUCCUUGUAUGGUGACGAAGGCUCUCAUCGGCGAUAUCCGCACCUUCUCUCUGUUCCAAGAAAUCAACCAGCAAGUGUCGUGAUUCCACACAUCAGAGCUUGUAUGUACGUGUGAUGAGGUAGAAAGGGAACGACACUCACGUGUACGUGCCGGCAUUGACCUUGAUCACAACUCGCACCAAAUUGAUGAGAGGCAGAGAGUCGACGGCAGCCUGGAUCGUCGUGAAGUCUCCGGCCGACGGGUUUUUGUCGACGGUGAGCGCGCGGGAAGAGAAGGCCUCGUUCACUGCCCUGCCGAAGGCACUGUGCCGGAGGCUGCCGACGAACUUGACCCACAGCAUGAACUGCUGCUCCGUCAACCCCCCCUGCGUCGAGUUCUCCGGGUACUGCUCCGACGGCGCCCGCGGCGACCGGAGUCCUUUUGUGUGGCAGAGGACACGACCGCUGUCUAAUAGAAUCAAAAGAAUUGUGAUGAAUGCUACAGCCCGGAAUCUGAACAUCGUGAGGAAAAGUGGUGGUGGGAAUGACUGAGAGAUCACGAGCUAUUUAUUCUACUGGCAACCAAAAAGUAGAGUACUGCUACUUCUAUGCAUGUACAUAUUUCUUUAGUGCUUUGUUGACACGAUUCCCUUUCUGUGUUUUGGAAUUGCCUUUGUUCUGUUGUGGAUCGAUUCACCUGUUUGUGUUUUCUUUUAUGAUGAUAAGAAUGAUGUGUGUUCUUCCAAAUGCUACUUUUAUUUCUUUUGGUUUCUUUCGGUAGUGUUGAUGUUGGUUGUUUGCUUCUUCUUGGUCUAUUAUUUCGUUGUUGCAGCCCGUGAUCUCUCUCUCUCUCUCUCUCUCUCUUGCCGAGGACUAAGCUUGUGAUUGUCGUCAUUUAACCUUUAGGUCUUUGUGGCUCUUAGGUAUGUGUGAUAAAGGCAUGGUUAUUUUAUAGGAUUAAUUAUAAAAGUAAAAUAUUUAAUCUUAUAAUUUUAUAUUUUUUUAAUAAAAUUUUUAUAUUAAAAAUUUUAUAAUUAUAAAAAAUAAAAUAUUUAAUCAUAUUUAUCCUAAUAUUAUCAGUUUCCCUAAUGGAAGAUACAUGUAAUAACAUGUACAUGAAUGAUACAAAAAUGAUAGACAAAAAGAUAAUUUCAACGAUGGUAACGGACGAUGGUGUCAUAGAUGGUUGUUAUGAUGGUAGUUGACGAAAACGAUGUGGUGGUCGGCCUUACUGAUGUCGAUCCGAAUAUGAACGAUGAGGAAGAGAAAGCAAAGCGGUGAGACAUCUGCGUCGGUGCCAAAGGAGGAAGAGAAGGGAGGUGAGGCAUUUGCAUUAGCACUGCACUGCUUUGCCUCCUCUUCCUCCUCCAAUGCUGCUCUAUAUUUGUAUUGAUGUCGGAGGAGAAAGAGGAGGCAAGCAAGACAUCUAUGUUGCUGACGAGGAGGAGAGAGGAGGUAAAUGAUGCAGAGCAGUGCGGCACCGAGGCAAAUGCAGAGCAACGCUGAAGGAGGAAGAGGAGGUAGAGUGGUGCGCGCGUUGAUGCAUAUGCCUCCUCUUCCUCCUCGGAUGCCACAUCGUAGGCUAUCAUACUCUCAAAUUUUGCUAAGGCAAAUGGAGCAAUUGGUGCCCUACAUCGAUCUCUCGUCUUUUCCGAUACUUGUGGAUUGUGAUCUUGCUAAUUAAUAUCUUAUCAAGCCCAUUCAACGAGACUUCGAAUGCUACCCCAUUGAAUGGGCUUGAUGAGGCAUUAAUCAGUAAAAUCAUAAUCCAUAAGUAACAAAAAGGUAAGGGAUCGGUGCAAGGCAUCGAUUGCUCCGUUUGCCUCAACGAAUUCUAAGAGGAUGACAACAUGUGGUGCGACACUAGAGAAGGAAAAGAAGGUAAGUGAGGCAUUUGCAUCGGCGCGACACAAGUCUACCUCACUUGCCUUCUCAUGUGCCAUCUCUUCUCAUUGUUAGCGAUGCAAAUGUCUCACUUGCCUCUUCUUCCUCCUCGAGCGCUAACACAGAUGAGGAGCAAUGCCGAAGGAAGAAUAGGAGGUAGAGUGGUAUAAUGCCGACGUAAAUGUCUCACCUCCUUCCUCUUCCUUCUUUGGCACUAACACAUGUGUCUCGUUACUCUACCUUCUCUUCCUCAUUGUUGUUAAUAUUUGAAUUGACAUUGGUGAGAUCGAUCACCAUAUCGUUCUCAUCGACUAUUAUCACAAUAGCCACCUACGAUGUCAUUGUCCAUUAUAACUAUUGAAGUUACUUUUUGUCCAUAAUUUUCAUGUAUGUGUUAUCAUGUACUAUAUCUUUCAUCAAUAAAAUCGAUAAUAAUAGGUUGAAUAAGAUUAAAUAUUUAAUUUUUAUAACUAUCAUAAUUUUAAUAUAAAUUUUUGAAGUGUAGAGAUGAAGAUACUAAAGAAAUCUAACUAUAACGAGAUAAUAUGUAAUCAUUAGUUGAGAUAUAAGCGAAUUGAGGUUGAUAACGUGCAUGUUCAUAAACAAUUCAUCCUUAAAAUAGCUGUGACUAUCACAUGUAAUUAGCGCAAGAGACUACUGUAUACACCACAACAUGACCUAUGUGACUCGCAGAACCCUUACAUGUGCCUAAAUUUACGAAAUUACACAGAUGGCACCGAUACACAGAAAUUACGGACGCCCCGUGCCGGGUUUUCGACGCUUUCGUCUACUGUCCGAUCUCUUCCUUGGCCGAUAGGGGGGAGGUGGAUUUUAUCGGUAAAUUCCCAUCUUCGAUUCUUAAUCUCUUGAUCGAAAUGCCUCCAAUCUCUAAAUGGAGCCGUUUUCCCGUGAUUCCUUUCAUCUAACGGUUUAGUCGGAUCUAGGGUUUGUUUCUCCCUGAUAUUCUCUCGAUCGUCGGUAGGGGUUUCGAUCUCGAUUGGUUUUUAUGCCAUUCUCGCUUUGAUUAUUUUUGGUGUUCUUUUGGUCUGGGUCUGUGAAAUAUACGUGAGUUUGCACCCUCAUGUGCUUCUUGAUCUUUUGAUCUCCGUGGCUUGCGACGCUUACUUUGCAUGAUUUAGAUGUCGUUCUUGAAAUGGAUGGUUGACGAAAAGAAAGUGGUUUUGCACUUGUUUUAGUUGGUGGAUGGCGUCCAAACUGCAUCAGCUUCGAUCUAAGGCUGUUCAAGCCUCGGAGUUUGUGGCCAAGAACGGGUGCGCUUACUACAGGGAGCUUUUGGAGAAGAACAAGCAGUAUAUUGUUCAACCGCCCACCAUCGAGAAGUGUCAAGAACUGUCAAAACAGCUGUUUUACACACGUCUUGCAAGGUUUGGCUUUGUAUGCAUCCUGUGCUGCCUGUUUAGCUGCUUUGUUGAGGCAUAUGUAGGGGCUUAUUCUGUUACUUUCAUCAGCAUAUGAAUUAGCCUUCGUGGGUGGCAUGGUAUUCCACGGCAGAGCUUGUUAUCGUGGUUUGGCUUCCUUUGGCUGUUCUUCUGUGCUGAGCAACAGUCAUAGUGAAGGGAUAAGCCAACAUUUGAGGGUUUCCUCUCAAAUUGUUUUCUAUGGUGUGUAUUAGUUAGUGAAUAUAGUCUCUUUGCAUCAUUAUAUUUCUCGUCAUAAUGACUAAAAAUGGACUCCAACGAUAAACCCCUUGGACUACAGAAAAUAGCCGAAAUUCAUAGGACAGAUAAUUUCCUUGGUUGCUUUAGUGUGUAAAAUCUUGCCUUGAAAUGAAAAUACAUAUUGGAGAAUUGAGAUGUCACAGAGAUAGGAAAUUUACCUUGAAGCUGCAGUUAACAUUGGAACUUAUACAUGUAAAUAAAGUACGUUAGUCGAAAAAGAUCUGUCAUUUAAAGCCAAGAUCUUAGCUUAGUGGACACACUGCAAUGAAAGGUUGUGAGUUAUUUAGAUUGGUCGAAGGUUAUCUUUGUCAGUUGGGUAUGGUCGGAUCUUCUCCAAUCGUCUCUCAAAUAUGAUAAAGUACCUCUCUCAAAUUUCACCUGUCUGUCUUGCCUUUGCACACCUACCUUUUUCUUUUCCAACAAGUUGAUCUCAUAAGGCUCUCAUCUAAGCCAGUCAUCAUUCUCACAAAUCAGAUAGUUCUCAAUUAUCCUUCUACUGCAGUAAUGAAUUUCCUACUCCAUCCAGUUUUCAGGUGCAAAAAUCAUGCAGUAUCCAGGAUUCAUCUGUAGGACAUUGGCCAAAAUUACAUUACCUGGAACACAUUUGACGAAUGAUAGCUGUGCACCAGGACAUACAUAUAGAGUGGCACCAGCCUUAACAAUGAAGUUGAACUUUGUCCUAAGCUAUUACCAAAGAAAUAAGCAUGAAAUAGAUAUAAGGACAACAAAUUAGUCUCUCAUCAUUUGCAAAUUACUAUAUUGAAAGAGACUUGUCAAUGUUCCAAAAAAAGAACCCAUUAAAUUGAAAUGUGAGGAAUUCUAUAUCAGCCAUUGCAUUCUUGGUCAGGAUUUAUCAUUCAAAUUUAGAUAGACACUUCAUUUUCCACCAGGAUUUCCUUAGGAUGAAACCAACUAUGAAGUCAUCCCAUGAAACCUCCGAUGAUAAAUCAUUAUUUGAGAUCCACAUUUUUAGUCUAGUGAAAAUGUGCUAGUGCCUAAUACUGGGAGACAAAUUGCGUAUAUUUGUUUACACUUGAAUGUUUGCCUAUCUAGAGUGUUUCAUUGGAUAUGCCAUAACUUGAUAUAUAUACAUGCAUGCAUGCAUGCAUGUGUGUGAACAUUAAUGGUAUUUUAUAUAUUAUAUGAUUCCUUAACUUUAACUAAUUUUACCAUGGUUAGAAAUGGUUAAUCUGUGUUGUGUGUGUGUGUUAAAAUUUGUAAUGCAAAUACUAGGUUAUAUACUUGCAAUCUCCAGGAAUUGAAGCAGCAGCUUUCGGUGAGCAUUCAAAGACACUUAUGUCGUUAGGUUUUUUGUGUUAUUUUGCAUGAAAUUGAUUCUAGUUUCCUAGUCGGACUUACUUUCAGAAAACCAAAAGCAUCAAUACUUGUUUUUCUUUUUUAUUUGCUUGGAGAAGUGACUUCAAUUUAUUCGAUGAUGUUCCUGUUCAGAGAUUGUCUGUUUUGUGUGACAUACCUAUUUCCUACAUUGCACAAUCCAUAAACCAUUCUUUUAGAUGUUAUCCUGCAUGGUUAAAAGGUCUAGUAUGAUACUGUAAAUAUUUAAUUCUGGUUGGGCCAAGCGCAUGUUCAGUUUCUGGAAGAAAAAGAAGUUUAGGCUUAAGAACAAUUAUGUGUCGAUACUAACAUCUUGUAAUCACAGCAUCCCUGGUCGUUAUGACUCAUUUUGGAAGGAGCUUGACGGAGUGAAGCACAUAUGGAGAAACAGAAAGGAACUUAAAGUUGAGGAUGCUGGCAUCGCAGCAUUGUUCGGGCUUGAAUUAUAUGCAUGGUUCUGUGUUGGUGAGAUAGUUGGAAGAGGGUUUACUUUCACUGGCUACUAUGUUUAGAACCCCUGGUUAUGAAGCAAGUUGACAAUAUCCCGGUCUAAAUUUUUAUUGUUGGAUGAUGAGUUUUUUACCUCAUUUUUUAUCCUUGCCCAUAAAUUCAUUAAUCUGGUGGUCAGCAAGACUAGUGACAGUCCCCAAAUAAUUUGAUGGCUCAUUUCUCUCCAGAGUCCACAACUACUCUUGCACUUCUUCAUGGCUGUGCAAGAAACACUCUUUUACAUGAUCAAUUUGUAUAAAAAAGAGAGCCCACUUACUUCUAAAAACUAUUUCAGUGAAUCAUAUCCUUGAUUACUAUUCUCGUCAUUAUGGAGAAAUCAUGUUUUCACUUAUUGGAUGAAUGAUAAUAAUGUCUACUAUUUACUUGCUUUUCAGGAUCUUGUGUUCAUGAUAUGGCUGUCCGUGGCAUGUUUUUGUGCUUUCCUUGUGUUAAAACAAUGUGGUGUGGCAGUAGCAUGGCAUAGAUCAUUGUUGUUGCCCUAAUUUGUUACUAACAUGGGUACUCAUUUUUGUUCGAGUUCUAACAUCCGACUGCUUCUACGGUGCUUACAUGAAUUGCCCAUAAAAGCUCUAGGAGGAGCCUCCAAUGGGGUGCCUCACCAAGGUUGACUAUGGUAAAUAGUUCGUGAUCAAAUCACUUUCUAAAGUUUGACCUGGAUGAGUCUUUUAUGAUAUGGACUUAGAAGCUUUUUAGCUCAUUUUACAAGCUAAUUAUAUAUUAUAUUAUCUCGUAUAAGAGAUCUCUUUAUCAUCUCAGUCCUUAGACUUAAAAAAAAUAUAUAAAAAUAUCUAUAAUUGUUAAAGUAAAAUAUUUAAUAUCAAUUGUCCUAUGUUGUCGGUUUUACUGACGAAAGAUAUAGCACGUGUACGAACGACACAAAAAUAAUAGACAAAAAGAUAAUUUCGAUGGUAUUGGUAGACAGUAGCAUUGUGGUUAGUUGUUGUGAUGGUGGUCGGCCUUAUCAAUAUUGAUGUCUAUACGAACAUCGACGUCAAAGAGGAAGAGAAGGCAGAGCGAUGAGGCAUUUGUGUUGAUGCUGCAUCGCCUUGCCACAUUUUCCUCCUUCGGCGUCACUCUACAUCUACAUCAAUGUUGGAGGAGGAAAAUGAGGCAAGUGAAACAUCUGCAUUGGUGUCGCGCUCAAAUCCUUGGACAGUCACUUCGUCUAGUGGCACGACAUAUUCGAGGAAGGGGUGGCAACGAUGAGAGAGAGGUUGCAAACGAGCUCGGUAAAGAGGUGCACAUGUUUCGAGCUUUUGAACUUUAGCUAGUGUGCGAACGACAUGUAUGCCCCGACCACAGCGACAUGGUUGCUGACCUGCUUCUGGAUAAGCUCCACACGCGAUUGGAGGGGAUUCGAUCAGACGACGAAGACUGAUUAUCGCACAAAAUAGAGGCCCAAAUAGUACAAAUCUGAUGGCACGAGAGACAACAAACCCUCGUCCUCCUCCCCGCUCUCCUCUAACACUAUGGUGGUGAGGGAGAGUAUCAGAAAGAUAGCAACAAUGAAUAUGGCGACCGAGACGACGAAGAAAUGGUGGAGUGUCGCAUUGCAGUUAGCCUUCGGAUUAGGAAUCAUCGUUUUGGCUAAGGUUUCAAGAUCAAUCGAUUGUAUCCGCUCUGCCUUACAUGCCUCCUCUUUCUCCUUUGGUGUCGAUGCAGACGCAAAGCAGCAUUGGAGGAAGAAGAGGAGGUUGAGCGGUGCAACGUCAACACAGAUGCCUCAUCUCCCUCCUCUUCCUUCUCUGGUGUCGAUGCAGAUGCCUCACCGCUCUGCCUCAUCUUCUUCCUUGGCGUCGAUGUUCAAAUCGAAAUCGACAUGGUCGACCAUCGCAUUAUUGUAGCCGAUCACCACCACAAUAGCGACCCUCGGCACCAUCGUCCAUCACCAUCGUUGAAAUUAUCUUUUUGCCCAUUGUUUUUAUAUCAUUUAUGCACGUGCUGUGUUUUUCGUCGGUAAAAUCGACGACGUUAGGGUAAAUGAGGUUAAAUGUUUCACUUUGAUAACUAUAGGGAUUUCAACGUAAAUUUUUUAAGUCUAGGGAUCGAGAUGCUAAAGAGAUCUAAUUACAAGGAGUAAUAUGUAAUAAGCUGCUACCACUAUUGAAAUUAUCUUUUUAUCUAUCGUUUUCGUAUCAUUCAUGUACUACUAUUACGUGUUAUAUCUUUCGUCGUUAAAGCAUAUGACAUUAAGAUAAAUGAGAUUAAUUAUUUUACUUUUAUGAUUAUAAAAAUUUUAAUAUAAAUUUUUUAAGUUUAUAGAUCGGAAUACUAAAGAGGUCUAACUACAUAUAAUUAGCCUUCAUUUUGUUUGCGUCCUUUCAUGUUUCAUAUGAGCCACAAUUUCAUAAGCUUUGAUCUGUUCUUAUGCUCGUAUUCCUUUCAUAUACCUUCAUGAGUUGAAUUUAAAUUGUAUCAAAAUAUGUGAAUAUAUGACAAAUUAUUAAUUUAUAUUUACUAAUCUCAUAAAGAUUCUUCAUUGAAUUUCCAGAGUAUACAAUAUAUAACUUAUUCAUUAUAUUGUUUUUGUUUUUAUUUGAGAAAUAUGAUCGACUGAUUCAAAUUAGUUUCUCAAUUAUGUGAUCGUGUUAUCCGACAUGCUCUCUUAUGUAUCAUCCAAAACACGAUUUGAUGAUGCCUUCGUUGUUUAAGCAAUAUUGCUUUAGAGUUUCUGUAUGAUUUCGUAUUGUACAUCAAUAUGGCUUUUGUCCUAUUUGAUCGCAUAUUUCUGAUAAAUGCUCGUAACGACAGGGCGCUACUGAUGUGAUUAAUUCACACACACACACACAUAUAUAUAUAUAUAUAUAUAUAUAUAUAUAUAUAUAAAACUCAUGAGGCCAAUUAUUACAAUUAUCUGUAUAUAUAUGUGUGCAGGUAUUUAGAUUUUAUAAGAAUAUGGAUGCUAUAUAUAAAUAUAUUAGUCAAAUUCAAAAAUAAUUUAUUUUGCAUGUAGAUAAAUGCAAUAUUAUGCACUAUAUAGUAUGGGGAAGCGUGAAGAUUUGACUGUUUUCCCGCCUCAUCCAACUAUAUAUUUUGGUUUGACAAAAAAUAAUACCGAGAUGCUUUUCCUGACGACUUUCCUGUACUUUAGGUGCGACAGCCUGGUCCCACUUACUUUAUCCUAUCACAAGGUAGGUAGUUGAACGGGUGACCGGAACACGUUGGGAAGGUACUGUUGUAACAAACAACUGUGAUCCCGUCACCGUUGGGAUUCCGGAAAAAGACCACGGGACUAAAUGCUUUUUUUGUACUUGAUUUAUUUGUAGGGCAUAGGCAAGUUUAGUUGGGUCCCGUUAACUCCAUCCAAUAACCAGGCGGGUAGAUGGUGAAAGAUGGUUGCGAAGUUAUAUGUUAGUAAUACUGGUGAUCUCGUCACCGCUGGUACUCAGGACUAGACACCGAGAAAGCGACCUCUUUUGCCUCCCCCUCUUUCUAUCUCACUCGUCUCCCUUGUUGUCCGUCGCCCUUCAAAGGCGCUCCUUUUCCUUUGGUAUCUAUCCCUCUUUUCCACGCCGAGGUCUGACAGGGGAGAGAGCAGGUGCGAGCGACUGAAUCCCUCGCCGCCGGAUGAAUGGGAUCGGAUAGCAUCGAGUGUGUGUCUUCGAUCGACGGGAUGGAUGAGGAGGACACCGCCCGUACCCAAUCCUCGAAGCCCCACGGCGGCGCCGCCCCUCCCGCAGGAAUCGCCCCCUCCACGAGCGUACACGAGCUGCUCGAAUGCCCCGUCUGCGCCAACUCCAUGUACCCCCCGAUUCACCAGGUCGAUUCCUUUCCCUUAUUUCAAUUUGAUAUUCUGAUGAUCUUGCGACCUUGCGGCUUAUUCUGGCAUUUGAUUUAUAAGGUGUGGUUUGGCUAUGGCUAUUUUCGAUGGGGUAAUUGGGGCAAAUGCGGCAACCUAAUGUGCUUUUGAUUUGUAAUUUCUCAAAAUUUUCGUCGUUUGGGUGAUACAAUAUGCAACUAUAUAAUAAAAUUGAUUAUUCGAGCACGUACUUCACAAAAUUAUACCUUUUUAAGACGAUGGAUAGUGAGAUGAUAUGUGUUUGUCGAACACUUCAAUAAUCUGACUCUUGGUUCUCUUGGAUGUCGUGGGAUUAUGAUUUUUUAAUUUUCAAGUAAUUUCUUCUUUUUAUUUAAAUUUUCCUUGUGCUCAUUUUAUUGAUUUCUAUCAUGUGAUUGAUUGUGGUUGUGAAAUUAAUAUAGGAUCCCGUUCGCAACAUUGGUUGAAUUGGUUGAACUUGCACAAGUCUGUCCAAUAUUUAGGCCUUGGAAUUCUGGUUGUGAGUGACUAUUUGGACAUUUGUGAAUUUCCAAGAAAUUGAUGGUUUAGGCUUCUCAUUGAUAGUUGGGCAUAGCCCUCAAAGAAGUCCAGUAAGUAUAUGACAAUUCUGAUUGAUCUGAUAUUAUUGUUUCUUUGUGUCUUUCUGGUAUGAUACUUGUCAGUUUGAGGCGUUAUUGUUCUAGCUUAAGUCAAUGGUUAAAAGCUGCUCUAAUGAACUUUCUGCUCUUGUGAACUAAUGAAUUGAUUCAUGUUUUGGGGAUAAUAGUGAGCUGCAUAUCUUUUCAAUGUCUAAUGUCUUGCUGAAAAAUGCACAUUUACUUUUGACAUUUGCUAGCUAAAGUUGUAGGCUAAUUGAUUUUCUUGUUUUUGGUUAAUUUUUUAUUAGUUAUUAUUGUCUUUGUAGACAAUGCUUAUGAGUUUCUUGUUCCAAUUUUGGUUAAUGGUUGGCUUGAAUAUUUGACUAAUCUUUAUAAUACUUGGCAAUAGGGUUUGCUUCUUGGAAUUUUGUAGGUUCACACUCUCUAGUUGCCCAGCAUGUUAAUACAUGCAGAUGCUUGAAAUUAUGAAAUUUAUUGAAUGUUGUCUAUGCAUAUUUGAAACAUGUGAUUGCUGGCUGAAUAAUUGGUUUCCAAGGAUGGAAAUUUGGCAUCGUUACUGACAAUUCAAAUGUUAAACCACUAUAGUCUCUCUGUUGUUGUUGAUCUUCUAAGGUUAGCAAGAAGCAUGUUUCUCUGACUCAUUGUGGUUCUUCUAUGCCAUUAAGAAGCAUUUAUUUUCCAAAUUAUAUUAAUAUCUGGUGUUCUUUUGCUGCUUAUUCAUUCACAGAGAUGGUACUUUUGAACAAUUAAGCUUAAACUGUUUUGCAUGCUUCACAUUUACACUGGUGGUUAUGGCAAGAAGAUGUCUCUUAUCUGUCAAUCUGUCCUUGCUUAUCUGAUAAAAAAAAGGAUGUCCUAUCAUCUAGUUAUUCCUUUAGGUGUUUUACGCUAUCGUAGUUCCUUAAUUAUCAGACUAAAAAUUAUUUGUUUACUAAAUCAAUUAGUCAACUGUUCAUAAUUUCUUAGGUACCAGCAAUGUCAUCUGCAAUUGGGGUUCAGAAUCCACAUUUUUUUGCAAACUUGUGAAGUAUAAAUGAAUGAUAUAGAUUUUUUGUUUGUUAGCAAAAUAGAAGGCAAUGCUGUAUGAGAAGAGAUAAUGAGUUUAUUUUGUCAUGCAUAUCCAAAGAGUGGGUGUGUCGUUAAGAUAUUACAAUUAUGCUAAAAUGACUGACAUCAUAGUUCAAAUUGGUGCCUAAUCACCACAGGUUUUUAGUUUUACCCAUUUGGGUGGCUAUUUAUUCCUCUAAAAGAUUAUCUUCUGUUGACAAAACUAAUUGAAUUACUAACACAUGUUAUUUCACAUAGAGGAUAAACUAGCUAUAUACCAGUUUUAAAACUCUAUGCUAAAGUAUUAUAUGUACUAGACAUGUGCGUUCAAAAAUAUGACCUAAAGAUAUAUGUCCUCAAUUUUUCUGGAUUCUACUCCUUUUUCUAAAUGUUUUAUUAUGCUGAAGAAGAGAGAAAAACAUAUACAUUUACUAUAUGGCGGACAAACAUGAAGCAACAUUGACUCUAUAAGCUUUGGCAGAGUACAACAACAACAACAAAGUCAUAAAUCCCAACUAUUUGGGAUCGGCUACAUGGAUCUUUUGUCACUAUUAAGAUUUGUAAAAAGUCAUAUGGUUAGUUAAGUUUAGUAUACUUAAAUCUUUAUUUGUAGUUUCUGUUAAAAUCUUUUUAGGUCUUCCUUUACCUCUCCUCAUACCAAUAAUAUUAAUCAUUUUUUCUUUUUUAACCACUAUAUCCGGAUGUCUCUUAAGCUUAUGUCCAUAUCAUCUUAAACGAUUUUUUCUCAUCUUAUCCUUUAUCGAAGCGAUACCUAGUUGUUCACAAAUAAAAGUAUUUCUUCUCUUAAUAUUUCCUAGUAACUCCACACAUGCAUCUCAUCUUUCUUAUCUCGGUAACGUAAACUUUUUGUGUGUUAUUUCUUUACUAUCCAACAUUUAGAUCCAUAAAGCAUUAUUAAUCUCACAACCAUCUCAUAAAAAUUUUCUUUUAAUCUCAAAAGUAUAUGAUCAUACAAGACUCCUAACGCCCCUUAUCAUUUUAACUAUCAUAUUUUUACUCUAUGAAUAAUAUCUUCAUCGAUAUCUUCAUCUUAUUAAAUAAUUAAUCCAAGAUACCUAAAACCUUUAGUUGAAGGGACUUUUUGUCCAUUCAAUUUAACUAUAUUUUCCUAUCUAUUUCUAAAAUCACUAAAAUUACAUUUUAUAUAUUGAGUUUUAGUCCUCUAUUUAAUCUAAAAUAUUUAGUUUCUAAGGCUUACUUCCAUAGCUCAAGUUUAUAAUUAAUUUUAUUUAGGUUCUCAUCAACUAAGACAAUAUUAUUAGCAAAUACGUAUAUUAGGGAGGUCUAUCAUGUAAAUGACUAGUAAGUUCAUCCAUUAUCAAUGUGACAAGGUAGGACUUAAUGCCGAUCCUUGAUGUAGUCCCAUGCUAAUAAGAAAUUCACUAAACACACUCCUUAUAAAUCUAACAUUAGUAGCUACAUUAUCAUACAUAUCUUUAAUAACAUCAAUAUAAUUAGUGAAUACAUAUUUCUUUUCUAAAACCCACCAUAAUAAACCUCUUGAAACCCUAUCAUAGGCUUUCUCUAAGUCAAUAAAAAUCAGUAGUAGUCAAUCAUAUGACAAACUAAGUUGUAUUCCUUUGGUUGACUAAGUAGUGGAAUUGUGGAGUCAAUCAUAUGGCCUUAUGCUUCUUAUGGGAUAAAUAUCCUAUCCUAGUUGUAUUCCUUUUAUCAUGCUUCUAUUAACACACUUGUAGCUCAAUCUAAUGGCAUUUUUAUGUUAGCAUGUUAUCUUUAAUCAAUUCUUGACUCCUUGUGCUCUAGAACUUUUCUUGAGUUAUAAAAUUAUAGAUCCAGCAGAAUGUAUAUUAGACUGCUAGGAUAGCAUCAUCGUGAUUUUUAAACAUUAUUAUUAUAUAUACAUUGGCUAUUCAUUGAUAUCAUGAUUUCAGUAAGCAGAGCAUUGUGGGCUACAAAUAACAUUUAUUCUUUGCAUUUACAAUUUAAUUAUUUCAAAUGUAGCUUAAUUUUGCAGUGCCAAAAUGGCCAUACACUCUGUUCAACAUGUAAAACAAGGGUGCAGAAUCGGUGCCCUACUUGUCGACAAGAGCUUGGAGACAUCAGGUGUUUAGCACUGGAAAAGGUGGCGGAAUCGCUUGAGCUUCCAUGCAAAUAUUACUCACAUGGCUGCCCUGAAGUCUUUCCAUACUACAGCAAAUUGAAACAUGAAUCUCAGUGCAACUAUAGACCAUAUAAUUGCCCAUAUGCUGGAUCUGAAUGCUCAGUUGUGGGAGACAUUCCUUUCCUGGUCACACAUUUAAGAGAUGACCACAAAGUAGACAUGCACACUGGCUGCACGUUCAAUCAUCGAUAUGUCAAAUCCAAUCCCCGUGAGGUUGAAAAUGCCACAUGGAUGCUGACGGUAAGCAGUCUUGCUACAGUUUAAUACUUGAAAGUGCACAUAUUCUUAGGAAUCUUUUGCAAUUCUCUAAACUUUUUCACAUUUCAUUUCAAUUGGUCAAUUUGAAAUCUGGCAUUUAUCUAAUAGAAAGUGAACUUAGGUUGGGAAGUCAGCCACCUGCUAUGAAUAGCUUAAAAGAAAGAAUCAUGGUUGCUAGAAUGACUGCAUCAAUCACCAUGGCUUCUACUUUACUAGAAUUUUCAUUCCAUAAUUGGUGAUAUAGAUCAUUUAUUUGCUGUUCAAAUAUUUUAAAGUCUCUACUUAAUGUGGACUUCUGUUUAAUCUCUCUCGUGAAAAUUUUUUCUGCAUUGCAUGUCUUUCUAUCAUUUUCACAUUAAUUAUCUUUGCAGGUCUUUAACUGUUUUGGGCAGUCCUUCUGCUUGCACUUUGAGGCCUUCCAGCUAGGAAUGGCCCCUGUGUACAUGGCAUUUUUGCGCUUCAUGGGUGAUGAGAAUGACGCAAGGAACUUCAGUUAUAGUCUUGAAGUCGGGGCCAAUGGACGGAAACUAACAUGGGAAGGUACACCUCGGAGCAUCCGUGACAGUCACCGUAAAGUUCGCGACAGUCAUGACGGGCUCAUCAUACAGAGGAACAUGGCACUCUUCUUUUCGGGCUGCGAGCGGAAAGAGCUCAAACUGAGGGUCACUGGCCGGAUUUGGAAGGAGCAACAGAACAGCGAUGCUGCAGUUUGCAUGCCAAAUCUCUGCAGCUGAAAGCCAUUCCUAACCAUGCUGAGUUAUGGCCAUCAAUCUGGUUACAAUGCAGCAAGCACAAAGAUGCUUCACCAAUGUUACACUCUGAGACUUCUUAUAUGUUCUAAUUAUUAUAUGCGGCUCAAACAUUGUCUAAUGUGUGAAACUCAACCAUAAUGCUACUUAAGUUGCAAUUUGAACUUAAGAGCGUCCUGUGUUCUUCUAGAGUUAUCUAUUUAAAGAAAUAGCAUUAGCAAAUGUGAAGGAACAUGAAAGAGGUGAAUUGAUGCCAGAGGAGUUAGAUGGAGGUCUAAGAAGACAGUAUUAGAAUUUAUAAAUAAAUAUUUAAAUAUUUUCUAUUUAAUUUACUUAAGAAUAUAGCUAUGUUAUGGUUCAAAAGCAGAUAAAGAUAUUUAUCAACCCAAAUAAUUGGGACAUUACAUCUCUUUGCUAUUAUUAAAUGUGUAUUAUGUGGAUGGAUCUCUUCAACCAAACAAUUAGUAUAAAUUAUGAAACAAAUCAAUACGAAUUUUACUUGAUGGUCGAAAAUGUAUGUGUCCCAUAUCUGAUAUGGCGAGAUUGUCUCCCAUAUGUUUGAUCAUGUUUUCAUAAACGAGCUAAUUAGUUGGUUUUAACUUUAUAUAGUUAAAAGUGAAAUAUUUAACUUUAUUUACUUUAACACAUUUGGUUUUAUCAACGGAGGAAACAGUUGUGAUAGCACAGAAAAAAAUAAUAAUGAUUUUAAUAUCUAAAUUAUUUUUACGGUGGUAGCGAGUGGCGGCACCGCUGUGGGCUACAAGUGAUUGUGGUAAAUAAGAACGAUGUAGUGAUUGAUGAGAAUGCCAAGGACUUCUAUGGCUUCUUGCAAGGAGGAUGAGAGAGAGCGACAAUGAGAGGUGAGGCAAAGGGAGGGGAGGAAGAGGACGAUGUAAAUAUUGAUACUCUACAUUUGCGUCGACAUUGCUCAGCAAUUGUAUCGGUGCUGACACAGAUGCAGAGUAGUGAAAGAGCCACUCAGUAUCUGCAUCGGUGCCAAUGCAAAUGCAAAUGCAAGGGGCCAUUCAGCAUAUAUGCAUGCCGACAACAUUCUACAUCGCUUGUCCCUUUUUCCCGCCUUGCGCAUACUGAGCAUCGAAAGGGGGAAGAAGGAUGAGCACCACCCUUUCCUGUAUCGUUGUCGGUACUAAUGCAAAUAUAGAGUGUCAUCGAUGCAAAUCCCGAGCGACCAUUCUUCUCCUCAUAUGUAGAGCGAUGCUCUACAUUUGUAUUUACGUUAAUGUCAAUGCAAAUAUAGAAGGGAAGAAGGAUGAGCGAUGCUCAACAUCCCCACAUUAUUUGCACCCUUCAACCUUCUUCCCUCAUUGCGCAUGCUUGCUGAGAGAUGAAAGGGGGAAAAAGGAUAAAGGAUCGAGAAAGGGGGGAAGAAGGAUGAGCACCAUCAUUGCUCGUAUUAUUGUUGGCGUCGACACGGAUACAGUGUGUUGGCAUCUACAUUAUCCUUUUCUUUCUCUCCCUUUGUCUCGCCUCUUAUCGUCACUCUCCCUCUUCAUCCUCCUCCUCCCUUCAUAAGAAGUCGCAAAAGUCCCCAACAUUCUCGUCGACUAUUGCAUCGUUCUCAAUGAAUAUAGCUACCCACGACUCCUAGUGGCAUCGUUGUCCAUCACCACAAAAAAUGUAACUAAGACGUUGAAAUUAUCUUUUUGCUCAAUUUUUUUUAUCAUUCAUGCACAUGUUAUCACAUGUUAUAUUUUUUAUUGAAAAAAUUGAUAGUUGAAGUUAAAUAUUUCACUUUAAUAAUUAUAGAAAUUUUAAUAUAAUUUUUUUAAAUAUAAGGAUCAGGAUAUUAAAAAAAUCUAAUUACAGGAGUAAUAUAUAAUUAGCUCUCUCGUAACAGACUAUAUCUCUAAUAGAUGCUUAUUGGACUCCACGUGUCGAGUCCAAAAUAUGAUCAUAUCACUUAUCGAGAAUGGUCUGCCUUUCUUAGAAAAAUAUUAAAUCGUCUUUAUUGAAUGAAACAUAUAUGAUGUGUUUAGGAUAUAUUUAUAAUUUUUAAUAUACAAAUUUUUUUUGAAUAAAUAUGUAGUUGUGGAUUACUCCAAGUGUUUGAUAAAUAAUUGAUGAAAACUAUAUUUUAAAUAUGAAUUGACAUAAGUUUUGUUUGAUAAAAUUAUAUUUCAAAUGUUCAUCGAAUAUUUUAUGAUAACUAAAAUUAUAUUUCAAAAGUCAUUAAAUAUUAUAUGAUAAAUUUAACCUUGUAAUAUUUUUAAUAUUUAUUUUUUAAAAUAUAUAUUUUUAAAAUAAAAUAAAAUAUAUAAUCUUAUACAAAAUUUAUAUGGCUCAAAUAAAAAAUAUAAUCGUAUAAAUAAAUAUAAAAUAAUAUUUAAAAAUAAAUAAAUAAAAUUUGACCUUAUAGAAAAUACAAAUCAUAUUGAUUUCUCACUAAAUCAUUUUGGUAAUCUUGUAAUUUUAGAUAAAAUACAAGAAACAUUCAAAUUUUUAAAAAUUAUAUUAGAAUGCUAUAAAUACUGAAAUAAUAAUGUUACCCUGAGAUAUUAUCAGCAUUUAAGCAUUUUCAAUGCAUCAUCUAAGCUAGAUGAAAUUUAAAAAAAUAUAUAUUAAAUAACAAUUCAUAUUUAAAAUAUGCAUUGGACUCUUGAUGCACAUCUUAAAUGUAUUUCCAAAUGUACCCUUAUACUUAAUAAGUUAUUAGCUAAAUCACAUAUGUGGCUUGACAUUGUUGUUUCUUAUUCAUUGUGUUCACAUAAUUUCUCUUAAUUCAAAUACUUCAAAUAAACGUUCUCUUAAUUCACAAAGGAAAAAAAAAAACUCUACACCAACAUUCCACUUAUCUUAUGUUGAGAGUUUAGAAUCUUAUCUCAUAAGACUAGCUUGAUGGUGAUGUACUAAAUUUAUAUUAGAUCCACUUAAAUAUUAAGGAUUUGGAAUCUAAUCAAACAAAUUUAAAUAUGUCAGCGUAUCUAGUAAAGAUCUCGACUAUUGAGUAGUAAAGUAUCAGAUCGAACCCCAUCCUUAUCACUUAGUACUGCUUAAAACAUAUGAUGAACCCAGAGGAUCUACAGGAGAUCCUACUUCCUCAUGAGCACGGAAUAACUUCUAUAUGAUCUCUUCCUGAUACAUGCUGCCUGCUGUAGUAUUACAUGCGAACUUGUGUGUCUGUUUAACUGGCUCUUAUCGAUGAAGAUGGAAGAAGAAGAAGAAGAAGAAGAAGAAGACGUAGGUAGGAUUUUGACCUUUUGGUUUGAGGAGCUGAGAACAACUCACUAAAACCCAAUCGUGAGUGCCAACCUACUCCAAAUAAUUCCAGCUCUUCGAUCUCAACCGCAUGCAACACUAAAAUACACGCAGUCACUUCUCCGCUGAAACCCACCCUUUGCAUUGUUUAUGUCACAUUGCGUUCCCUCGGUACUAUACACGACAGACAAUAAUCCAAGGGAGAGAGGGAGGGAGUAGACAUCCACUUGUGCUCCG
rnacentral:lncRNA from 1 species